UACGGAGGGGGCUAGCGUUGUUCGGAAUUACUGGGCGUAAAGCGCACGUAGGCGGCUUUGUAAGUUAGAGGUGAAAGCCCAGGGCUCAACCCUGGAAUUGCCUUUAAGACUGCAUCGCUUGAACAUCGGAGAGGUAAGUGGAAUUCCGAGUGUAGAGGUGAAAUUCGUAGAUAUUCGCAAGAGCACCAGUGGCGAAGGCGGCUCACUGGCCCGGUACUGACGCUGAGGCACGCAAGCGUGGGGAGCAAACAGG
rnacentral:rRNA from 1 species